UACGUAGGGUGCAAGCGUUAAUCGGAAUUACUGGGCGUAAAGCGUGCGCAGGCGGUUGUGCAAGACAGAUGUGAAAUCCCCGGGCUUAACCUGGGAAUUGCAUUUGUGACUGCACGGCUAGAGUGUGUCAGAGGGGGGUAGAAUUCCACGUGUAGCAGUGAAAUGCGUAGAGAUCGGAAAGAACACCAACGGCGAAAGCACUCUGCUGGGCCGACACUGACACUGAGAGACGAAAGCUAGGGGAGCGAAUGGG
rnacentral:rRNA from 1 species